GUGAGGAAUAUUGGUCAAUGGGCGAGAGCCUGAACCAGCCAAGUCGCGUGAAGGAAGAAGGAUCUAUGGUUCGUAAACUUCUUUUGCAGGGGAAUAAAGUGCAGGACGUGUCCUGUUUUGUAUGUACCCUGAGAAUAAGGAUCGGCUAACUCCGUGCCAGCAGCCGCGGUAAUACGGAGGAUCCGAGCGUUAUCCGGCUUUAUUGGGUUUAAAGGGUGCGUAGGUGGUUUGAUAAGUCAGCGGUGAAAGUUUGCAGCUUAACUGUAAAAAUGCCGUUGAAACAGUCGAACGUGAGUGUAAAUGAGGUAGGCGGAAUGCGUGGUGUAGCGGUGAAAUGCAUAGAUAUCACGCAGAACUCCGAUUGCGAAGGCAGCUUACUAAGCUACAACUGACACUGAAGCACGAAAGCGUGGGGAUCAAACAGGAUUAGAUACCCGUGUAGUCC
rnacentral:rRNA from 1 species